rnacentral:rRNA from 1 species
CCAAUUCUUUUUAAAGGAACUCGUUUGUUAAUCGACACUACUCGUUAAUUUUAACUUACUUAAGUUAGCUUAUAUACCGCCGUCAAAACUAUUUUCCAAAAAAUAUUUUCUUCUACACUAAUUUAUGUCAGGUCAAGGUAUAGCCAAUAUUUAAGUUCAAAUAAGUUACUAUAAAUAAAAUUUAUAGAAAUAAAUUAAACUUACAUAAAAAAGGAUUUAAAAACAAUAUUUUAAUACUAAUCCAAUAUGAAAAUGUUUUAAC